rnacentral:rRNA from 1 species
UAGAGUUUGAUCCUGGCUCAGAUUGAACGCUGGCGGCAUGCCUUACACAUGCAAGUCGGACGGCAGCGCGGGCUUCGGCCUGGCGGCGAGUGGCGAACGGGUGAGUAAUACAUCGGAACGUGUCCUGGAGUGGGGGAUAGCCCGGCGAAAGCCGGAUUAAUACCGCAUACGCUCUGCGGAGGAAAGCGGGGGACCUUCGGGCCUCGCGCUCAAGGGGCGGCCGAUGGCAGAUUAGCUAGUUGGUGGGGUAAAGGCCUACCAAGGCGACGAUCUGUAGCUGGUCUGAGAGGACGACCAGCCACACUGGGACUGAGACACGGCCCAGACUCCUACGGGAGGCAGCAGUGGGGAAUUUUGGACAAUGGGGGCAACCCUGAUCCAGCAAUGCCGCGUGUGUGAAGAAGGCCUUCGGGUUGUAAAGCACUUUUGUCCGGAAAGAAAGCGUCCUGGCUAAUACCCGGGGCGGAUGACGGUACCGGAAGAAUAAGCACCGGCUAACUACGUGCCAGCAGCCGCGGUAAUACGUAGGGUGCGAGCGUUAAUCGGAAUUACUGGGCGUAAAGCGUGCGCAGGCGGUUCGCUAAGACCGAUGUGAAAUCCCCGGGCUUAACCUGGGAACUGCAUUGGUGACUGGCGGGCUAGAGUAUGGCAGAGGGAGGUAGAAUUCCACGUGUAGCAGUGAAAUGCGUAGAGAUGUGGAGGAAUACCGAUGGCGAAGGCAGCCUCCUGGGCCAAUACUG